CGCUCCCUCAGCGGCGUCCUCCCGCCUCGCAGCAGGAGGCAUCUGCGCAGGCGCGCGAGCACGAGGCGAACCCCCGUUCCCGCGCAGAGCCCACGUGGCCGCGCGCGCGCCGCCUUCCCCUCUCCUCAGCCGAACAGCUGCGCGCGCAGGGGAAGGGGAGGGGGGGGGGGUGCGAGCGCGCGCACCUGCGCUGCGCCCUCGGCCCCUCGCGCCGAGCGGUGGAGGGCGGCCGCCUCGGAGGGACCCUGCGAGCCUCGUCCCACGUCCUCCGGGAGAGCCCAGGCACGCACAUUGCUGGAAAAGCUACGUCUCUAACUUUAAAGCUGACCAUUCCAUAUCGUAGUCAGUGAAAACUUGACUUCUGAACUUAUCUAGUGACUGACAGAUGGUCAGAGAGAAGAGUCUGAAGAGUUGACUGCUGGGGCAGCAGGAAGAUGGCUCAAAUUUGAGCUUACUGAGCAGGGUGGGAAAACAGCGACUGAAAUGGGAACAAUUGUUCUACAUGGCAGAUAAUGGUGUAAGAAAGUUAGAGAUGAGGAAUCCUUGGCAAGCACAUGUAAAGCACUUCACAGCAGGUGGCAACAUGAGCAGAAAGAGGUCCGUCAAGCACAUGGGAAACACAAGUAUCUGCUGCUUGUCCUUCCUGCUUCCCUGCCCCAGUGCUCGCUGUGAGGAAGUGGCAGUGCCAGACUGGAAAAGAGCUGAGUGCGCGUAAGUGACAUAGCUGAGGCACAGGCAGAAGGCACAAAUCCUACAUGAAGCAUGGCUUUCCAUCUCCAGGACUACCAAAAUGGCAACUUCAUAAGACUGAAUACACAGGGAAGAAAAAGAAAAGAAAAACAAAACAAAUCCUGCACACUGCUAGCAUUGAUGAACAGGUAUUGAUGUUCAUGAAAUAAAAUUUCUAUAGCA